AGCUGAUCAUUGGGUGUAAAGUGUGCGCAGGCGGUCUUGUAAGACAGAGGUGAAAUCCCCGGGCUCAACCUGGGAACUGCCUUUGUGACUGCAAGGCUGGAGUGCGGCAGAGGGGGAUGGAAUUCCGCGUGUAGCAGUGAAAUGCGUAGAUAUGCGGAGGAACACCGAUGGCGAAGGCAAUCCCCUGGGCCUGCACUGACGCUCAUGCACGAAAGCGUGGGGAGCAAACA
rnacentral:rRNA from 1 species